rnacentral:lncRNA from 1 species
GCCCGGUGGUCGUGGCGCGCUGCACGCGGUCAGCUUUACCUCCCAGUCGCCCAACCAGCCUCCAUCAUCGUUGUACUCCAGCGCCCAGCGCCGCCUCCGACACACAACGGCCAUGCCCACGCCACGGACGAGUGAGGUCCGCGUGAGGAGUUCAGCUAUCGAGCAAGAGCCAGUUCCAGGGGAGGUGCAUCAGGGAAAGUUUCAUGCUGCUUGCAGGCGAGCGGCCAUAUCCAGGCGAGGUGUGGAGUUCGUCGGUGAGGCUGUCUCCCCUUCUGCGCAAUCUGGUCCAGAGAUAUCGAAUCCUUCCUGAUUUGGCUUCCUUUCUGCCCUCCACUCUUCUCUGGAGGUACGUCGACGAGCACGAACUCCACCACGGUUUACUGCUCAAUUUUUGCUGAACUUUACCUUUGCAUCUAUCUGAACUUCUUUUUAUUACAAAGUUCUUCCUUUUAUACUCGACGGCGUCGUCACAGCUCUGGGUUCAGCCGCCGAGCCCCAUGUACCUCUAUUAUGAGGGCAUACCAGACUCUGCACAAGCUCUGAGGAACUGCAACCACUUCUACUAGGUGCCCUGCCACUCCCAAGCUUACAAGUAAAGGUAGGAGGCUGAUUAGCCACUAGACUAGACUAUGGCUUGCUCCUUAAAAAUUAGUCACUAGACUGUAUUUGUAGGUAUUGUGUGGUGCCGUUUGACACAUCUUAAUAUCAUGGUUUACUAUAGAAUGGCCAUUAAAUAUGUACAGUACUUUUUCCAAAAACAGAAUUGGUCCAAUUGUAAUUUUCUUGUUGCUUUCAGAGUUUGAAGCUUGGUGCCGACUAGCCUGAUACCAGUACUGAAAAAUUCUGAUUUGGUCA